GUUUCCCUAGUCUCCAUUCUUUGCAUUCCUUAUAGGUAUGAAGAUUAGUUAACUCCGCAACUUCUUCUUCUCUUUCUACAUGUGAUAAAUCUGGACCUACAAUAUAUCAGACAAAUUUAAUGAUAUGUAUUAAUUAACCACUUCGCCUCGCCAUCUAUGAGAAUGAUCAACCUAAUAUAUUUACGUAGUGAAUCAACGAAGGAAGCGAUAAGAAGAAGAAUAAACCCAACUACUUUGGUGCCCAUCCACCACAACAUCAGGCGAAUACCCAGUGGCCAUUUGUCGUAAAUCCAACAGUUCCCUUUAGCACCACAGCUCUCCUGCCAUACUGAGCAGAUGUUGAAGCUGAAAUUCAAACUGAGAGUUUCAACAAAAAGCUCAUGGGCCACAUUGCUCACCCGAGCAACAACUGCUGUAAUAAAACCAGUUUAUAAGGACAUAUACACACUAUCUUGACGAUACAUCAAAAUAGAUCUUGUUUAAAAAGAUUUUAAAAAUUUUGCAUAGAACCCUUUUGUAGCUUGGUGAUUUCAUAUUCACAUCACAUAUUGAUUAUUGUAGUUUUUAAAGGAUCUUCGACAGCUGUUCAUGUCAAUAUAAACCUUCAUUAAACUUUGAACUCCCUGUGUGACUCAAGAAUGGUUCUGAGGUCAAUCACAGUCUAAACAAUUGAAAAUUAAAUGUCAGAACUUGAAUGUAACUAAUAUAAUAGAUUGUAAAAUUUGAGCUUUUUAGAAUAUUCGAUUUUUUUAUUACGUAAAAAUGCACCCCACCCCUUUCCCCGCCCAGUUGUGGCCAACAACACCCCUGGGGAUCAUGAUUUGAACAAAUUUUAAUCUAAACUCCCUAAGGAUGCUUUCACACAAGUUCUAGGUGUUCUAGCUUGUUGAUUUUUUUCAAUACAUUCUUAUAUUAAAAUGCGACCCCUUGGCCAAACCAUACUCUCAGGGAUUAUAAUUAAUUAAAUCUACCAUAUGAAAGGAUGCUUCCAUACAAAUUACAUGUUUUCUGGCUAAUUUAAUUUUUGAAGAAAAAAACCAUUUUUAAGACUUUAACUCCUCAAGGUCCCCAAUUGUGGCUUGAAUCUACACUAAGUGAUGAUGUUUCAGUGCAAGUUUCAGCUUUUCUGGCCAGUUGGUUUUUGAGAAGAUUUUGAAAAUACCAACAAAGUUUUAUAAUUUAUUAAUUAACUUCCUUUGAAAAAGGGUGUGCUCCUUUAUUUAAAUAUACUUGAAUCCCCUUUACCCGAUAACUCUUUGUGCCAAGUUUAGUUGAAAUUGACCCAGUUGUUCUGGAGAAGAAUUCAAAAAUGUAAAACGUUUAUGAACAGACAGAGACACAGAUUUGAUCCGAAAAAUUCACUUGAGCUUUCGUCUCAGUAGCACAAUUUAUAUAUGUGUCAAAGAUAUUUUUUCAGAUAUUAAGAGACGUUUACACUGUUAUUUAAUUUAAAUCAAGGGCACUUUCAAGAAUCAAAUGAUGUUCCUAAGUUUCAUUUGGUUUUUGUUGGCAUGGACUUUUUUAGAAUAUUUGUGUUAUCCACUCAAUCAACAGAUCUUCUAAAUGGCACAUAAUUGUUAGACAUAUAA